GGCUAUGUAGCUCAGUUGGUUAGAGCACCGCACUCAUAAUGCGGGGGUCACAGGUUCAAGUCCCGUCAUAGCCACC
rnacentral:tRNA from 1 species